rnacentral:rRNA from 1 species
GAGUACAGCGGCGGACGGGUGCGUAACACGUGAGAAUCUGCCCUUUAGUGAAGAAUACCUCCGAGAAAUCGGGGUUAAUGCUGCAUACGUCCCUUCGGGGAGAAAGAUGGCCUCUUUGCUGUCGCUAAAGGAUGAGCUUGCGGGCUAUUAGCUAGUUGGUGGGGUAAAGGCCUACCAAGGCGAUGAUGGCUAGCCGACCUGAGAGGGUGAUCGGCCACACUGGAACUUAGACACGGUCCAGACUCCUACGGGAGGCAGCAGUGGGGAAUAUUGCGCAAUGGGCGAAAGCCUGACGCAGCGACGCCGCGUGGAGGAUGAAGGUCUUCGGAUUGUAAACUUCUGUUAAGUGGGAAGAAAGGUCCGUUUUUAAUAGAAACGGGCAAUGACGGUACCAUUAAAGAAAGCACCGGCUAACUUCGCGCCAGCAGCCGCGGUAAUACGAAGGGUGCAAGCGUUAUUCGGAAUCAUUGGGCGUACAGGGUGCGUAGGUGGUGUAUUAAGUCAACUGUUAAAUUCUCCGGCCUAACCGGAGGUCAGCGGUAGAAACUGAUAUGCUAGAGGAUAGAAGAGAGAAGUGGAAUUCUCGGAGUAGCGGUAAAAUGCGUGGAUCUCGAGAGGAACACCGAUGGCGAAGGCAGCUUCUUGGUCUAUUCCUGACACUGAGGCACGAAAGCGUGGGUAGCAAACAGGAUUAGAUACCCUGGUAGUCCACGCCCUAAACGAUGAUCACUAGACGUCGGUUCUGGUUUACAGAAUUGGUGUCGUAGCUAACGCGAUAAGUGAUCCGCCUGGGGACUACGGUCGCAAGGCUAAAACUCAAAGGAAUUGACGGGGGCCCGCACAAGCGGUGGAACAUGUGGUUUAAUUCGACACUACGCGAGGAACCUUACCUAGACU